rnacentral:rRNA from 1 species
UGCAAGUCGAACGGCAGCAUGAUCUAGCUUGCUAGAUUGAUGGCGAGUGGCGAACGGGUGAGUAAUACAUCGGAACGUGCCCUGUAGUGGGGGAUAACUAGUCGAAAGAUUAGCUAAUACCGCAUACGACCUGAGGGUGAAAGUGGGGGACCGCAAGGCCUCAUGCUAUAGGAGCGGCCGAUGUCUGAUUAGCUAGUUGGUGAGGUAAAGGCUCACCAAGGCGACGAUCAGUAGCUGGUCUGAGAGGACGAUCAGCCACACUGGGACUGAGACACGGCCCAGACUCCUACGGGAGGCAGCAGUGGGGAAUUUUGGACAAUGGGCGAAAGCCUGAUCCAGCAAUGCCGCGUGUGUGAAGAAGGCCUUCGGGUUGUAAAGCACUUUUGUCCGGAAAGAAAUGGCUCUGGUUAAUACCUGGGGUCGAUGACGGUACCGGAAGAAUAAGGACCGGCUAACUACGUGCCAGCAGCCGCGGUAAUACGUAGGGUCCAAGCGUUAAUCGGAAUUACUGGGCGUAAAGCGUGCGCAGGCGGUUGUGCAAGACCGAUGUGAAAUCCCCGAGCUUAACUUGGGAAUUGCAUUGGUGACUGCACGGCUAGAGGUAGCAGAGG